rnacentral:rRNA from 1 species
UACGGGGGGGGCAAGCGUUGUUCGGAAUUACUGGGCGUAAAGGGCUCGUAGGCGGCCAACUAAGUCAGACGUGAAAUCCCUCGGCUUAACCGGGGAACUGCGUCUGAUACUGGAUGGCUUGAGUUCGGGAGAGGGAUGCGGAAUUCCAGGUGUAGCGGUGAAAUGCGUAGAUAUCCGAAGGAACAUCAGUGGCGAAAGCGGCUUCCUGGACCAGAACUGACGAUCAGGCACGAAAGCGUGGGGAGCAAACAGG